rnacentral:rRNA from 1 species
AUUGAACUCUGGCGGCAUGCCUUACACAUGCAAGUCGAACGGUAACAGGUCUCCGGAUGCUGACGAGUGGCGAACGGGUGAGUAAUACAUCGGAACGUGCCCGAUCGUGGGGGAUAACGAAGCGAAAGCGUUGCUAAUACCGCAUAAGAUCUACGGAUGAAAGCAGGGGACCGCAAGGCCUUGCGCGAACGGAGCGGCCGAUGGCAGAUUAGGUAGUUGGUGGGAUAAAAGCUUACCAAGCCGACGACCAGUAGCUGGUCUGAGAGGACGACCAGCCACACUGGGACUGAGACACGGCCCAGACUCCUACGGGAGGCAGGAGUGGGGAAUUUUGGACAAUGGGCGAAAGCCAGAUCCAGCCAUGCCGCGUGCAGGAUGAAGGCCUUCGGGUUGUAAACUGCUUUUGUACGGAACGAAAAGACUCUUUCUAAUAAAGAGGGUCCAUGACGGUACCGUAAGAAUAAGAACCGGCUAACUACGUGCCAGCCGCCGCAGUAAAAC